GCGCUAAUAGCUCAGUUGGGAGAGCGUCAGACUGAAGUCAAUUCGGUCCUAUCCAAUAUCCGGGGUAAUCUGAAGGUCACCCGUUCAAUCCGGGUUUGGCGCA
rnacentral:tRNA from 1 species